AUAAAGCCCUAAGGGUCUGCUUCACACCAGCACUCCUUUAGUUACAGUUUGAGAUUCAAACAAGCAAAGCGUUGCUGCAGAAACCACUGAACCACUGAAAGGCAAAGUAAGCAUGGAAGAAUCUCAGACCCGUGUUGCCUCAACCUACUAUGGGUGGUCUGUUUUUAGCACUUUAUGCUGCUGUUUGCCUCUAGGAGCUGUGGCAGUAUAUUUCUCCAGCAAGGUAAAAAGUGCAAAUGAGGCAGGAGAUGUCGAUGGGGCAGAGCAAGCAUCGAAGACAGCCAUGAUCCUUAACAUCAUGGCCCUUAUUUGUGGACCUAUUUGCAUUGGUAUUUACUACUACCUCAACCAAAAAGGUUCCAGAUGAAAUGACUUCCUUGUCAGAAAGCAGAGCUGAUGUAUUUGUGCAAGAAUCUUCUCCACCAGCAACUUUAAAAAACAGAAAUAAAUGGCUAUUCAAAUCUAAAACUGUUAAUGUGACUGCUGUCAAAUUUAUAUUUGGACACAACCAGUGUUUAACAGUCAGUGGUAAAAGCAUGUAAAUGUUAUCAAAACAAUUGACAAUAGUGUUUACAUUUGUUGGGAUUGACUGGUAAUAAAUGAAAUGUUAAACUAC